GAAGGCUUAUGGAUGUGGUGAGGGAAGAUAUGAGAGCAGUUGGGGUUGGAGAGGAAGAUGCAGAAGAUAGGCUAAGAUGGAAAAAGAUGACACGCUUUGGCAACCCCUAACGGGACAAGUCGAAAGUAAAAGAAGAAAUUUGUCAUCUUACGAGCGUCUGUACUAUGGUCAAUUUGCCUUUGUAUAAUGGUGUCAAGGAUGUCAACACAAUGAACACAAGAAAGGAACUGGAACUUUAGUUUAAUAUGGAAGGACUUCAGCAAACAGCAGUCAAUUCGGCCUAUGAGAUUUAGACGUCUGCAAGAAAGCAAAAGGUUAAGCUGAAACUGUAGGAGCUUCAUCUUCAAUAUAACAAUGAGCCCCAAGCUUGCAUCUCAAUCAACAAAAAAUAUUUUAACUUGAGUCCAGCCAGAACCCAAACUUAAAGGGGAAAAUAUUUUUCAAACAACAUGUACAGAAGUGUUCAAAAUUAAAGCAGUCCAAUUUGAUUUACCAUAAUAACUCAUAUUUUCACGAUAUAUUUUAUAUUCUAUAUACUCCUAACCGCACUUACGUCGCACAUAGACCUCCAAGUUAUCAGACUCCGCAUCAUUCCGCCCGAAGAACCAUCUGAAUAUUCAACAUUAAUUCCAGCCACAGGUUCAAAUCUGUAUGGAGGUAUUCCUCCGUCUUCCUGAUCAACCGAUAUUGCUAUUUCUUCAUCAGAUUAGGAUAAAUACGAGAAAUCAGUGCUGGGCAUAAAUGCUGUCCCAUGUAAUCGAGCUUUUGUUGCAGCACGGUACAUAUCACAUUCGUGCACAUAGGUCAUGUGACUCACAAAAAUGGUUGCGCCCCUGAAAAUUCUUAAUUGUCGAUAAUCUUCUCAAAACACUAUUAAAUAAGAGAGGAUUUAACAUCACAUUGUCAGAAUAGGGUACAUAUUACAUAACCUAUUGGAUACACUGUUCAUGCAAAGCACUGGUUUUCCCUUUAGGUAAGUAAGUUUCUUUCGGUAUGUCCCGUGAGGGGUCGCCCCAGCAUAAAAUCUCAGAUGAAAGCUCAUAUUUGUUUGACAGUUUUUAUGCCAAAUGCCCUUCCUGAAGCGACCUCUUUUUGGGAGUAGAGGCCCCAGUGAGAUACGAACUCACAACCCCUAGUUUACCAAACCAAUGCACUAACCACUGAGCUAUGGGGCCUCAGUAAAUAUUUGUUUAGUGAUUCAAAGAAUUGGUAAAUCCUAGAAACAAAAAUUUGUGCAAAACAGUUUUGAGUUUGUAAAGUCAACGGCAGACUGCUAUUUUUUUAACACACCUCUUUCAACAAAUUACCCAAUUGCACAGCCUUAAGAGUGUGUAUAUCACUCAUGCAAGGUCACGUUGGUUUUCUGAUAAUCUACUGCACCUACUGGAAACCUGUUUGACAUGUAGCAAUAAAAAAUAUACUGAAAAUGUGGAUUAAUCUGGUGAGUCACUUUGGACUGCUAUCAUUUUGAUCACUACUUUAUGUGCCGCGUCCAAACAGUCUUCUAAUUAAUAUUGCUUUCAUGAUGUACAUAUUAAAAAGAUGAAUUCAUCAAUUCUCAUGCAUGUCUGGGGCUACAAUGUCAGCCCUAUGCUGUAGACCUGAAUUGCCAAACCUGCUCUUGCAUUUGCGUUACAAACGUGACAUGACCAAACCUUAAAAAUGGAGUUGCAGACUCCCUGUGUAUGUUGCAAUUGUAAAGGGUUGAUGUAAUUAUGAUUCGAGAGCUGCCACCUCUGAAUAACUAAAAUAUGGUCACGAUGUGUUGAUGGUUUGCACUUUAAAUAAUUAUAUCAUCAACCUGUAGUUACCGCUAGGUAUCACCACAUACUUUCAGGUUUGGUCACAGGAUAUUCGCAACACAAGCAAAAGAGCAGUUGUGAUAUUUCAGCUGACACCAGAGGGUGAUAUUGCAAAACAUGUUCGGCCUCUUAUGUGAAUUAAAAUUGAAGAAAUCUGUUCAAUUAUUAUUCCACAAAUGUGAUGUUAAUCAAAAUACCCUGUUUAGACACAUGGGAGCAAAUACAACGUUCUUGCAAUAAUACAGUGGUACCUUGACAAAUGAGUAACUUCACAUACGAGUUUUCCGAGAUACGAGCCAUGACACUGAAUAUUUGUUUUGCUUUGUCUUGAGCCAGGAAUCGAAGUACGAGCCGCAGGUAGCACGAGCAGCGAUCGGUAAGAUGCCGAGAUGCACAGCUUCCAUUCAGCUUUUCGCACUUCACUGUGUCUUUCCACGUAUGCACCUCGGCUCGAUAGUAUCUCUUUGCAGCUGUGCUCGCAUUUGUUUUUAUUUAGCAUUUAUGGAAGGUAUUUUAGUCAAUUUGAACCAUGUGGAUAAAGAAAGCAUGUUUUUGGGAAAGCGAUGAGAAGAAGAUGUCACUGGAAUUAAAGCACGAAAUAUAAAACCAUGGACAAGGUGAACGAAUGAGCGACUUGGCAAAGAGGUAUGACCGUUCUACAUCUAUGAUAUGUACAAUUCUCAAGCAAAAGGAAUUCAAGUCGAUAACCCUUCUACAUCUAUGAUAUGUAUAAUUCUCAAGCAAAAGGAAUCCAAGUUGAUAACGCCAGCUAAAGAGAUGAACAUUAUUUCUAAGCUACGGACCUCCAUUGAUGAGAACAUAGAGAAUCUGCUGCUGACGUGGCAGGGGGAAAUAUAUCUCACAGGAGACAUGGUAACAGAAGCUAUCGUUUUUGAGAAGGCAGGCACACUCAUCUAAGAUUUGUCGGAGGAGACCCAAGUCACAUCAGUGGACGAGGGAUUACAGAAACCUUUUAAAGCCAGCCGGGGCUGAUUUUAAAAUUUUAGGAAAAGGACUGGGAUGUACACUGUCUUCAGGCAUGGUGAGAGUGCUUGUUCUGAUGUGAAGCCAGCUGAAGAAUAUGUGACAACUUUUGCAGAACUUAUCGAAGCUAAAGGAUACAUCACUCAGCAAGUCUGAAACGGCAACGGUUGUUCUGAAAGAGGAUGAAGAGGAGGACAUACAUAACACCAGAAGAGACAAAGAUGCCAGGCCACAACCGAGUAAUCCAUCCAUUAUCCAAGCUGCUUCUCCUCACAAGGGUCACGGGAGAGCCGGAGCCUAAUCCAGCCACCUUCAGGCGAAAGGCGACCUACACCCUGAAAUGGUUGCCAGUCAGUUGCAGGGCAGAUAUCAAUGCAAUCACUGAGCGGAAAUCGAUCCCACACUGCCCACACCAAAGUCAGGCGUGUGUACCACGACACCACCAGUGACCAUUACGGUAAUUUGCGCCGCCAACCUGAGAUUUCUGACCUGCUCACAAGAGUUUGCCAUUUUACGAUCAUUAGCGUAGCAUUUUUGUUGCUACUGCACCAAACAUCAGAAACGGUUGCCCAUGAGUUUGUUUCAACUUAAAGUAAGACAAAAAAAAUGUCGAAAAGGGGUGGUUAUGCAGCGGCUUUUAAAAGAAAAGUGACAUCACUCCUGCCGAAGAAGUGGGCAACCGUGAAGCUGUGCGCCACUUCAAAGUGGCUGAAUCAAAUGUGAGUUUGUGGACGAAGGCGAAGGAGAAAAUAAUCCAUCAAAAAGCAUAUGGAAGAGUUUUGAGAUGUGGGAGAGUUACACAGUUCCCAGAGAUGGAGGAAGAGUAUGGAGUUAGGUCGCUAUCAAAAAAAUAGCUCAAAUUACAUGUAAACAAGCGUAAUGGGCAUAUAUAAAAAAAGCAAUUAAAAAGCUUGCUUUUUUAAUGCGCUUAUUACGCUCGUUUAUAAGUAGUUUGAUCUUGAGUUAUUUUGAUAGCGACCUGACGCCCUGGAACAUCUGCUACGGAUUGUACCCAACCAGAAGGCAAGAGGCUGCGCUAUUAGCAUUGUGGAGAUUCGCCUCAAAGCACUGAAAAUUCUUCUUUUUCUUUCGGCUUGUCCCGUUAGGGGUCACUACAGCGUGUCAUCUUUUUCCAUCUAAGCCUAUCUCGUGCAUCCUCCUCUCUAACACUCACUGUCCUCAUGUCCUCCCUUUCCAACAUCCAUCAACCUUUUCUUUGGUCUUAUUUUCGCUCUUUUGCCUGGCAGCUCCAUCCUCAGCACCCUUUUACCAAUAUACUCACUCUCUCACCUCUGAACGUGUCCAAACCAUCGAAGUCUGCUCUCUCACUCCCCUUGUCUCCAAAACAUCCACUGACAAUAAUGAGGAAUAAAGGGAACCAAGACUCUUGGGAUUCAAAAAAUGUUUCCUCACUAUUGCCAUGGAUGGCACAGAGGACGACAUACUAUGAGAGGAAGAUGGGAUCACUGUUCACGAUGCAAUGCAGGAAGCACCAGUACUGGAACAAGUCAUCAAUGAUGAGUUCCACAGCGAUGCACCAAAGGUAGCUACUAUGGCUCUUUUUCACAUUGGAGAGGAAUCAGAUGCUUAUUUUGAAGGCUUGGCCAAGGAUGUGUAAUGUAUCUGAUGAACUGCAUGAUGCACAAAGAUUUAAUGCAAAAAAAUAUUUCUCUCUUCUUAAACAGUGUUUAUUUAUUUAGGACUGUAAUACGUGUUAUUAAAAGUAUCAUAAAAUGUGAUGCCAUCACUGAGCAUUUAUUUUAGUUGGUUGAAAGAUUCUGUUCUGACAAUUACAGGGACCAGAAGCGUGUCCUGUGGGCUUGUCCUGAGAUUUUCAGUAUUAUUGCUACAUCAGUACAUACUUGCAAAGAUAAUAAUUAAUGACCGUUGUACAGACAAUUUUUGGAAAAACAAUCCAAGUACAAACAAAAGUACAAAAUAGCAAAAUAGAAAACAGAUACUCCCUAAUAAUAUUUUGAACAAAUGGAUAACACCAAAUUGGUGGUGCGUAUUUUUGUGAAAACUUCCACAAGCUUCUGACAGUACUCUGCUGCAAUCCUGGCCCAUUAUUCCUGACAGAACUGGUAUAACAGAAUCAGGUUUCGUUGAUUGCUGUGCUCGCGCACACCUUUUCAGAACUGCCAACAAAUUUUUGAUGGGAUUCAGAUUAGGACAUUGUGAUGGCAACUCCAAGGCAUUGACUUAUCCGGGUCAAAUUUUAACCAUUUUGGUAGUAUGCUUUGGGUCAUUGUGCAUUUGAAAGACCCAUUUGCGCCCAAGUUAUAGCUUGCUGGAUGUCUUGAGAUGUUGCCUUCAUAACGCGAUGGAAUGUACUUUCUUGAUGAUGCUGUCUAUUUUAUGAGACGCUCCAGUUCCUGCAACAGCAAAACAGCCCAACAACAUGACGGUGCCACCGCCAUGCUUCAUAGUUGGUAUGGAGUUCUCAGGUCUCCAAGCUUCCCCCUUUUUUCUUCCAGAUGUAACAUUGGUCAUUAUGGCUAAACAAUUAAUUUAAUCAGACCAUAGGACGUCUCCAGAAGUUUAAAUCUUUGUCCUUGUGUCUUUUUGCAAACUGUAAUCUGGAUUUUUUUAUUUUUCUCUAGGAGUAAUGGCUUCGUUCUCGGUGAGUGGUCUUUCAGGCAAUGUCAGUGUAGGACUCGUUUCACUGUGGAUAGUGACACAGUUUCCAGCUUCAUUCAGCAUCUUCACCAAGUCUUUAGUGUAUGUUCUGGGCUUGAUUCACACAUUUCGGAACAAAGCACAUUAAUUUCCGAGAGACAGAGCCCUUCUUUUUCCAGAGCGGUGAGAUGGCUGGACAUUCCUAUGAUGUUUAUAUUAGCGUAUAAUUUGUUUGAAGAGAUGACUGUGGCAGUUUCAAACAUGUGGAAAGUGUACUCAAGGAUGAUCCAGACUUGUGGAGCUCCAUGAUUCGCUCUCUGAUUUCCUAGCCGAUUUCUUUUGGUUUUCCCAUGAUUUAAAACAAGGAAGCAGAGUGUAAGAGGAGUAGCCUUUAAUACAACCAUAGGUGUGCUGUCAAUUAACACACGUCAGUUAACCUUUCAGGAGUUAAAAGCCAUUACAUCAUCUGGGCUUCCCGAUGUUUUUUCAAAUCAUUGUACUUUUUGUGUAUGUAAACUUGAGACCUCUUAGAAAACAAUAUAAAAUUAGAAAAAUUAGA